rfam:Dracunculus medinensis genome assembly, scaffold: DME_scaffold0000063
CAAACGGUCCUCUUUAGGACCACUAAUUCCAAUGAAUAGAACUUUUU